AAAUCUAAUCAGGUUUUGGUUUAAAUUUUGUCAUGAUCAUUUCUUGGGUUUCUUUAUAGGCAUGUUUGGGCAUGCCUAAAAGUUGAAUUUAUUAUAUGGCUGACUCAGAGAUUUCCAGUUUCAGUGUUGUGAUUCUCAUUGUAUGCCGAAUGAUAUCCUGUCUGUUGUUUCUUUUCUUUUCGUUUCUUUUCUUUUCUUUCUUUUCUUUUCUUUUCUUUUCUUUUCUUUUCUAUUCUAUAUCUUCCACUGCAAUUUUAGGAUCUUUCUGAUUCUUAAUCACAACAAAAAAUUUCAUAUUUGUUACUGUGUCACUUAUUUGUAUUUAUAGAUGAAAUAAUUAGGGCUUAACGCAGGUUUUAUUUGUUUCAUUAUUUAAUAUGAUUCAUUCUGCAUAUGCAUACAUUGUAUACGUUCUUCCUUUCAUUCUUUACUUUCUUACUUACAAAGAGUUAUUAAUGCAUGUGGACUGAAUAAUGAGGAUUCUAUUUAAUGUUUAUCCAACUUUAUGGAAAUUGUUAUUUAUGUACUAGGCAUAACUUCUGUCACUCACUGACUGAUUUUAAACUCCUGAACUCCUGAAUGCAUUAUAUAUCUUAUACUUCAUGACACAUUUAUAUCUAGGGUUGUCACUAAACAUGUUUUAUUACCAAUUCUUUGUGAUGAUAGAAUGAUUCUCUGUAACAUAGGACUCCUACGUCCGAGUUAAGGUUUUGUAUUUUUCACACUGUUAAUGUAAUCUUGUGUUGUAUUUGUGGUAUUCUAUAAAAUCAGUAUGCUCAAAACAAGUUAAAUAAAGUUAAGUAAUGAAAGUUAAUAGGAUCAACAUAUAUAUCUGAUGUACAAGUGAUAAACCAGUAAUAAACCAGGAAGCCUUAAAGGAAUACCGGUCAAACAUUUUAGGGAGAUUCCUUAUAGAACACUGGCCAAGAAUUUCCUCAUGAAACAAGAAUUUCUUCAUGAACCUAUCACAUUAUCUUUUUAAAAUAACGAUUCCGGGUGUGUCAUGCCACAAUUAUACCACAGAGUUGGAAAGUACCUCAGGAGAUAUUGGUGGCAGAUGAGACACUAAUGAGGGCAGGAAAUGUGGGCUUAUAUAAUGUGUUAAAGAAGUGUGUGUGAAACCUACAGAGGCUGGGAGGAAGCUGGAACAUUUGCUGUUUGUACACUGAGGACACAAAACAAGUGGCGAUAAUGGCUAAUGUCAGCCUAUUGUGAUAAACCAAGUAGGCAAUGAUGUGGAAAUGAUGUGGAAAUGAUCUUGGUUUUACAGUCCCAAAGAAUGGUUGUCAGGUGAAAAUCCCAGAGGCUGUACCUACACUUAUUGUGAAGGGGCUCAUGUCAGUUUAACUGAGCUGAUAGAGUGCAAACCUGAACACCGCUACCUGAGUAAGAAAAACAUUCCCUGUUAUCCUGAAUAUCACUUCCAAGAGCGCAACGUUUGCCAUGUAACUGAGAAAUCUGGCCUUAAUGGAGUCUUCAGAGACAGAGGAUUCAAACGUGGUACUGAUAGAUUCCUGUGGUGGGGCCUUUCAAUAUCUGAUGAGUCAAAACAGAAGGAAUUUGCUACUUCUCCCGCAUUCCAGACUGAUUCCCUUUAUGGCAACUUCCGCUUCACUUUUCCUCUAACAGAGCUCCUGAGUGCAUACAGCAAGCAGCACUGCAAUGGAAAUUCUCCGAUUCUACGUGUGUUAGAAACCAGGCUCCACAAGAAAGAGAUUAACUAUUCAGUGUUGGUGCAUCCACGGUACAUGCGGCACUACCGGAAAUAUCCUCGCUUACCUGUUGAUGCAGAGGAUUUGUGUUCGUACAGAGAAAAGAAAAUGACCUGGCGCUGUCAGUCUCCUUCAAAUAGCUAUGAAUACAGCCAGUAUGUGGACGAGAAUGGUGAAAUAUGUGUCGAUAAACUGAGAAGGAAGGAAUAUUAUGUAUGGGAUAAUGUAGCUGUGGCCUUCCACAUGAAGAAGGAUUGGGUUCUGAAAUUAGGUCACAAAAAACUUUUUGAUCACUUGAGUGUAUGUGAGAUAUCUUCAAAUAAGCUGUUAAAGGAGCCGGAAAUGUCUGUCCAGGAGGCUGAGGCAGAAGUACUGAAUUUGAAAAGAGCAUUUAAUCUUUGAAAAAAGUUUCUGGUCUUUGAUGAGAGGAGGUUGGUCUUGGUCCUGAAGUUAAACAAAAGUAAUUCGAACAGAACAGACAGACCACUUACUGUACAGUAAUUAAAAUCAUAAUGAAACUAAUAUGCCACAGCAUUUUUACUGUUCUCAGUUUUCUUGGUAAGAAGAUAAUUAUUAAUUUUCUAUAUCUGUAUCUCUGACAGCACAGGCUGCAAUUUAAUUUGAGUUUAUAUUAACACAUUUUUGAAAUACAUUUGUUGAAUUGUUGUUUUGGUGAAGCUUUCUGUUGUUCAUUUGUUCAUUUGACUGUUCAAGAAGUUCAUUUGACAAUUACUGAAGGUGUCAGAACUGUUAUUCUAACGUUGAGUAAGAUUUCGAGACUAGCUGAUCUCUGAAUAAUGACUCCUAGUUGAUUGUGAAACUUCAAGAACCUUGCAGUUUCCGUUCUGCCUUUUUUACAUUAUAUUGUCCAGGAGGCUGAGGCAGAAGUACUGAAUUUGAAAAGAGCAUUUAAUAUUUGAAAAAAGUUUCUGAUCUUUGAUCAGAGGAGGUUGGUCUUGGUUCUGAAGUUAAACAAAAGUAAUUCAAACAGAACAGACAGACCACUUCAUUAAAACCAUAAUGAAACUAAUAUGCCACAGCAUUUUUACUGUUUUUCUGAGUUUUCUUGGUAAGAAGAUAAUUAUUCAUUUUGUAUAACUGUAUCUCUGCUUGUAAUACAUUUGCUGAAUUGUUGACUUGGUGAAGCUUUCUGUAAGAUGUACAAUUAUGGAAGGUGUCUUAAGUGUCAGAACUGUUAUUCUAACGUUGAGUAAGUUUUCAAGACUAGCUGAUCUCUGAAUAAUGUCUCCUAGUUGAUUGUGAAACUUCAAGAGCCUUGCAGUUUCCGUUCUGCCUUUUUCCCAUUAUAUUGAAUAUCUAAAACUUUAAUAAGUGCCUCUGUACAAGUUCAAGUAUACAUAUAUUAUACAUAUAUAUCAGCAUUUCAUUUGUUACUUUGUUCAAUGUUUUUAUAUCAUGGUAUUUUUGCAUCUUAAAAAUACAUUUGUUCUGUUAUUGUAUAUUUCUUGUUGUUUUAUACACUUUGACACAAACUGCAUUAAAAGUAAUGUUAAUAGA